CCUGGCUCACGUCGAACGCUGGCGGCGCGCCUAACACAUGCAAGUCGAACGAGUGAGAGAGAGCUUGCUUUCUCGAGCGAGUGGCGAACGGGUGAGUAACGCGUGAGGAACCUGCCUCAAAGAGGGGGACAACAGUUGGAAACGACUGCUAAUACCGCAUAAGCCCACGGCUCGGCAUCGAGCAGAGGGAAAAGGAGCAAUCCGCUUUGAGAUGGCCUCGCGUCCGAUUAGCUAGUUGGUGAGGUAACGGCCCACCAAGGCGACGAUCGGUAGCCGGACUGAGAGGUUGAACGGCCACAUUGGGACUGAGACACGGCCCAGACUCCUACGGGAGGCAGCAGUGGGGAAUAUUGCACAAUGGGGGAAACCCUGAUGCAGCGACGCCGCGUGGAGGAAGAAGGUCUUCGGAUUGUAAACUCCUGUUGUUGAGGAAGAUAAUGACGGUACUCAACAAGGAAGUGACGGCUAACUACGUGCCAGCAGCCGCGGUAAAACGUAGGUCACAAGCGUUGUCCGGAAUUACUGGGUGUAAAGGGAGCGCAGGCGGGAAGACAAGUUGGAAGUGAAAUCCAUGGGCUCAACCCAUGAACUGCUUUCAAAACUGUUUUUCUUGAGUAGUGCAGAGGUAGGCGGAAUUCCCGGUGUAGCGGUGGAAUGCGUAGAUAUCGGGAGGAACACCAGUGGCGAAGGCGGCCUACUGGGCACCAACUGACGCUGAGGCUCGAAAGUGUGGGUAGCAAACAGGAUUAGAUACCCUGGUAGUCCACACUGUAAACGAUGAUUACUAGGUGUUGGAGGAUUGACCCCUUCAGUGCCGCAGUUAACACAAUAAGUAAUCCACCUGGGGAGUACGACCGCAAGGUUGAAACUCAAAGGAAUUGACGGGGGCCCGCACAAGCAGUGGAGUAUGUGGUUUAAUUCGACGCAACGCGAAGAACCUUACCAAGUCUUGACAUCCUGCGACGGUGCUGGAAACAGUACUUUCCUUCGGGACGCAGAGACAGGUGGUGCAUGGUUGUCGUCAGCUCGUGUCGUGAGAUGUUGGGUUAAGUCCCGCAACGAGCGCAACCCUUAGGGUCAGUUACUACGCAAGAGGACUCUGGCCAGACUGCCGUUGACAAAACGGAGGAAGGUGGGGAUGACGUCAAAUCAUCAUGCCCUUUAUGACUUGGGCUACACACGUACUACAAUGGCGUUAAACAAAGAGAAGCAAGACCGCGAGGUGGAGCAAAACUCAGAAACAACGUCCCAGUUCGGACUGCAGGCUGCAACUCGCCUGCACGAAGUCGGAAUUGCUAGUAAUCGCAGAUCAGCAUGCCGCGGUGAAUACGUUCCCGGGCCUUGUACACACCGCCCG
rnacentral:rRNA from 1 species